GUGCCAGCCGCCGCGGUAACACGUAGGGCGCAAGCGUUGUCCGGAAUUAUUGGGCGUAAAGAGCUCGUAGGCGGUCUGUUGCGUCCGCUGUGAAAACCCGGGGCUUAACCCCUGGCUUGCAGUGGAUACGGACAGACUAGAGGUAGGUAGGGGAGAAUGGAAUUCCCGGUGUAGCGGUGAAAUGCGCAGAUAUCGGGAGGAACACCGGUGGCGAAGGCGGUUCUCUGGGCCUUACCUGACGCUGAGGAGCGAAAGCGUGGGGAGCGAACAGGAUUAGAUACCCUAGUAGUCC
rnacentral:rRNA from 1 species